CAAAACAACAGUUCCACUUGCAUACACAAACUACACUUCCAGUGUACAGGUCAUAUUGGUACUGACUGAAAACUCAAGGUGACAUCACCAUGAGACAAGUCGUGUUUAUGGCCCAUUCUGCUGACCAGUGGUGCUGUGGAGUGCUACAAGAGACAACACAAG